GGAUAGGUAACUGUUGCACCCCCAGAUAUUUCGGAAUUUGAUUUACCACAAUGCUCUAUCAGCCUAUAGCAUCAUGGGAAAUGUAGUUCACAAACUGGCAAAAUUCAUAGUUAGUGCUGUUGGAUAAUAUGUAGAAGUUAAAACAACAGCGCCUUUCAUCUUUCUGAAUUUCAGUAAAAUUAGUGUCAUUUGGUUGGCUAAUAAUACU